AGUUAAAUGACACUGAUGCACACCUCGUAGAAUUUGAAAACACGCAAACACAGAAGUUUCUUCGAAAAAGCAAGCCCGACAAAUCAACAGAUAAAAACUCGGACAAUGAACCAGUAGAGGCAUAUAGCGAUGAAACGGAAAGUAAAUAUGGGCGUGUAGCGGGCGUUAAGAUAUUGAUAAAUGGAGAAACUGAAGCUACUGAAGAUUUGGCUGAAAAUCCAAACGAGCG